CCUACCUUACCCCUUCCCCGUUCGGUUGGUCCGUUCCGUUCCGUCCCCUACCCCGAACCGUACCGGGUAGGGGAAGGUAGGGUAAGGGUUAACCUUUCCGGUUGGGUUAGGUACGGGUCGGGUAAAGGUAAAGUCGGUACGGUAAGGAAGUACUACGGAAGGGAAAACGAAACUACGGUUCGGGGUCGGGAACGGGAACGGGCCGUCCUUCGUCGUCGGUACCGGAACCUAAACUUAACGUACGAACCUACCUACGGGAACGGGGAAAACGGAAACGUACGGGGUAAGGGGGACGGAACGUAAGGGUAGGGUUAAGUUAAGUAACCCCUAACCCCGUAAGGUUACCGUUACCGUACCGGUAAACCCGGUAAAACGUAGGUAGGUAACUUAACGGUUAGGGUUUGGUUUCGUUCGUUAGUUACGUACCCCGGGAACCCCGGAACGUAGGUCCGGUACCGGUACGUAACCGUAACCGGUUAACGGUUUAAAGUUACCCGUCCCCCGUCCGGGGUAGGGGUAACGGUACCGACCGACCGAACGUAGUGUAACGUAACUAACGAAAGUAGUACGGACGGGGCCCGCACAAGCGGUGGAGUAUGUGGUUUAAUUCGAUGCAACGCGAAGAACCUUACCU
rnacentral:rRNA from 1 species